AACAGUUGAAUCAACUUAAUAUUUAGUAAAAUAAAAAGACAACGUUAAAAUAAUCAGUAUAUGUGGUUUUAACUUAAAAUAUUGUAGAAUCACACAAUGUCUUUUAUUUCUACAAUAAUUUACAUAGAAUCUAUUAUUGAUAUCUUAAAUCAAACUAACAAACUCAUUUUGAUUAAAUUAUAUUUGAAACUCUAUCAUGCAGCAUGUUAGAAUACAAUAUAUAAAUUUAGAUUUAACAAUAAUAAUAAUUAUUUGUUCUAACACAGGCACACAUAUAAUUAUAUACAAUCAAUAUUUUUAACAAUCCAUUUAUAAUAGCAUGAGUGAUGUGAAAUUAUAUACAGUCAUGAACAUUGUAAGGAAAUGUACAAGUUUGCAUAGAACCAUAGAUAUUAGAGGACCUAGAAACUAAAAUGAAAUUGUGGGCGUGGCUAUGCUAAGUCUAAGAUUGCGCAUGCUCAGUAGAUCUAGAGCUGUGAAACCAUGUGCUCCAAGAAAAGAGAAGACGAUUACCCUUUCUAUAUGCUGGACAUUUGCUGCUAUAAAUCUGACUGUGAUGAUACUUCUGUGAGAGGUAUGACUGUGACUACACCAAGUGGAUGAUGAUACUUUUAGUUCUGUGAGAGGUAUGACUGUGACUACACCAAGUGGAUGAUGAUACUUCUGUGAGAGAAAUUCCUUAAACUGGCAAGCUUGACAUGCGAGAACAAACAGACGAAUGGAUAGAAGUGGCGUUAUUGUUGGAUAUCCUCUCGGUGAUUGAUAAUACACGGUAAUAAUUAAUAUCAAUAACAAUGAUGUAUUUACUAUUAUAGGUGGACUCUGCGUGGUCAAGAGUGAUCGGUCUGCUAUACUUGUGAGUCCAGUAUGUUACACCAAGAAGAACUAUUCCUUGGGCUAAUUAAUUUAAAACUGUCCUUCUAAUUUAACAUUGUAUACCAUUGUCUCACUCAGUUGUCACGAACGUUUCCUAUCACUAUUUUUGUAUUAACAUGUUAUUUAUUGAAUUGAAUAAUAAUUGUUAUACCGA